GACGGAGGAUGCAAGUGUUGUCCGGAAUCACUGGGCGUAAAGCGUCUGUAGGUGGUUUAAAAAGUCUGCUGUUAAAAGUUGAAGCUUAACUUCAAAGAUGCCGUAGAAACUUUUAAACUUGAGGAUGGUAGGGGUAGAGGGAAUUUCCAGUGGAGCGGUGAAAUGCGUAGAUCUUGGAAAGACCACCAAUGGCGAAGGCACUCUACUGGGCCAUUACUGACACUGAGAGACGAAAGCUAGGGGAGCAAAUGGGAUUAGAAACCCCCGUAGUCC
rnacentral:rRNA from 1 species